rnacentral:rRNA from 1 species
CCUACGGGAGGCAGCAGUGGGGAAUAUUGCACAAUGGGCGCAAGCCUGAUGCAGCCAUGCCGCGUGUAUGAAGAAGGCCUUCGGGUUGUAAAGUACUUUCAGCGAGGAGGAAGGCAUUAAGGUUAAUAACCUUAGUGAUUGACGUUACUCGCAGAAGAAGCACCGGCUAACCCCGUGCCAGCAGCCGCGGUAA